GAUGAACGCUGGCGGCGUGCCUAAUACAUGCAAGUCGAGCGAACAGACGAGGAGCUUGCUCCUCUGACGUUAGCGGCGGACGGGUGAGUAACACGUGGAUAACCUACCUAUAAGACUGGGAUAACUUCGGGAAACCGGAGCUAAUACCGGAUAAUAUAUUGAACCGCAUGGUUCAAUAGUGAAAGACGGUUUUGCUGUCACUUAUAGAUGGAUCCGCGCCGCAUUAGCUAGUUGGUAAGGUAACGGCUUACCAAGGCAACGAUGCGUAGCCGACCUGAGAGGGUGAUCCGCCACACUGGAACUGAGACACGGUCCAGACUCCUACGGGAGGCAGCAGUAGGGAAUCUUCCGCAAAGGGCGAAAGCCUGACGGAGCAACGCCGCGUGAGUGAUGAAGGUCUUCGGAUCGUGAAACUCUGUUAAUAGGGAAGAACAAAUGUGUAAGUAACUAUGCACGUCUUGACGGUACCUAAUCAGAAAGCCACGGCUAACUACGUG
rnacentral:rRNA from 1 species